AUCAGACCGAGCCUGGCCCUUGCACCAGAAGGUGUGAGAGAGGAAGGACAGGAAGUAUAAGAGGUGGGCCUCUGCUCAAUUGAAGGGAAGCCAGGGAAGGAGACAAACACCUCUUGACUGCAGCCCCCCGGCCCUGCGACUGAACCAGGUACACCCUGCCUCCAGAGGAGACCGAAUCAGGAGAGGAGUUGCUGAGCUUCCUGGAGGCCAAAUACUCUGAGGAAACAGAGGAUUCCUGGACACCAAAACCCCUCCCCAGAUUGUGGUUGACUGCUCAUGCAAAACCCUGGAUUUAUAGUUCUGGUGACUGAAGCCAUCUGUUUAUCUGUAAAGCUGGAAGAACAGAGGUAUGAGCCUCCGUGCAUGGCUCUAGAAAGGUGCUCCAACAAUGACUUGGAGGAAAUACCUUUAGUUGUGAAAGGCUGCUUUAGAGAUGAAGUGACUCCUAUGCAUCCAGUCCCAGGAACAAUGCCAUGCUAAAAAGCACAGAUAGGCCCACACUCUUCUUUCAUGUACCCCUCCUUGACUUUAAAUAAAUG